rnacentral:lncRNA from 1 species
CUGAGGAAAUGGUGAACGAAAUCGUUCUUGAGGUCAUUUUUUUUUUCCAAUUAUUUCAUUGUUUACAAUUCUUUAUAUAUUUUUUUUACUAAUUGUUAUAAAUUUUAGAAACUACAAAAGCAAUAGGUAUAAUUUUAGGGUUAGGAAAAGUACUAGCCAAAACACUCGGUUCUUAUUCCUUGUCAUCAUAUCACAAAUAUAUAACCAUGAUCCCGAACUCAUGGAAGCCCUCCAAGAGAAAGACGAUCGCAUCAAAGCUUUCGAAAAGUAGAUGGAAGAAGAGAAACUAGUGAA